rnacentral:misc_RNA from 1 species
GGAGGCAGUAUAGCCAGUGGUGAAAUUGCAUCUUAAGCGGCCCUUUAAGUUCCAAUGCAUUUCCACAAGGACAGUGCUAAUGGCUCAACCGAGCUUGAGUUGAGCUCCCUGUGCUUGGCCAUGAUGGUACUGAACCUCAUCGAGGAGAGCAAUGGAAAGCAAUCGUUCACUGCAGUAAGUCGUGGCCAGAAUCGCUGCAUCUACUCUGAAAGGAAUUGUAAUUACUGCUUGGAAGACAAAUUCGAAUC